GAUGGGGAGCGAAAUUUAGUAGCGAAGUAGCUGAUUUCACACUGUCAAGAAAAGUCUCUAUCGAGGUUAAAGGUACCCGUACCGCAAACCGACACAGGUGGGUGAGGAGAGUAUCCUAAGGCCAGCGAGAGAACUGUUGUUAAGGAACUCGGCAAAAUGACCUCGUAACUUAGGGAUAAGGGGUGCCACCAUCAGGUGGCCGCAGAGAAUAGGCCCAAGCGACUGUUUACCAAAAACAUAGGUUUCUGCUAAGUCGAAAGACGAUGUAUAGGAGCUGACGCCUGCCCGGUGCUGGAAGGUUAAGGGGAUCUGUUAGAGCAAUCGAAGCAGGGAACUUAAGCCCCAGUAAACGGCGGCCGUAACUAUAACGGUCCUAAGGUAGCGAAAUUCCUUGUCGGGUAAGUUCCGACCCGAACGAAAGGCGUAACGAUUUGGGCACUGUCUCAACAACAGACUCG
rnacentral:rRNA from 1 species